AUUGAACGCUGGCGGCAGGCCUAACACAUGCAAGUCGAACGAGUGGCGGACGGGUGAGUAAUGUCUGGGAAACUGCCCGAUGGAGGGGGAUCACUACUGGAAACGGUAGCUAAUACCGCAUACCAUCAGAUGUGCCCAGAUGGGAUUAGCUAGUAGGGGGGGUAACGGCUCACCUAGGAGACGAUCCCUAGCUGGUCUGAGAGGAUGACCAGCCACAUGGGGACUGAGACACGGUCCAGACUCCUACGGGAGGCAGCAGUGGGGAAUAUUGCACAAUGGGCGCAAGCCUGAUGCAGCCAUGCCGCGUGUAUGAAGAAGGCCUUCGGGUUGUAAAGUACUUUCAGCGGGGAGGCGUUACUCGCAGAAGAAGCACCGGCUAACUCCGUGCCAGCAGCCGCGGUAAUUC
rnacentral:rRNA from 1 species